AAAGACAAAGGCAAACUUGGUGAAAGCUAAGGACGCAAAGCCACGGGUCUUUCUAUUAACGAAAGAUAGCCGGGUUGCACAAU
rnacentral:ncRNA from 1 species